AAAAUCUUGACUUCUAAUUUUCUUGACCAGCAAUUCUGAAGCCCUGAACCCUCUCUUUCUUGACUAAAGCCCAUGGAUGAAUCCUCUUACCAGCAACUCUGACUGUGGCUAAAAUUAAGAGUGUAUGCAGAGGGAGAAGUUGUGUGAGGGUGUUGCUGGAAGAGAAGCGUUGUUCAGGUAACCCCUGCUGACCUGUAGAGGAAACUGAACAGAACACCUCAUCCAGGACAUCCACCCAUCCAGGGCUUCUUUGCUUGGCAGAUUGAUAGAGGACCGAAUUCACAAAAACCAAUACAAUGGCUAGCAGAAAAGUAAAGGUUUCUGAACUGCAUCUGGUCCCUGGAACAGACACCACCAGAAGGAGGGAGCCCAGGCAGUUGGACCCAGCAUCCUUUACUCUGAAGAAAUGGGCCUGAGAAAUACAGCUGGCGGCAUUUAGGAUUACUAGGGAGAGCCUUCAGCUGAGCACUGAGAUGAGACGCCUACAGAAGCUACUGGAAAAGACAGCAGAGUCUCUGGGGGCAAGGUAUUUAACCACCUUGGAUCUCAGUCUCUUUUCCUAUAAAAUGGAAAUGGCAGUGAUAUCAAUAUCAUGGUCUCGUGAAAGGACUCAAUAAAAUA